rnacentral:lncRNA from 1 species
GAUGGCCGCCUAGCUUGUUUUAUGUUUAAUUAUGACCCCUGCAGUUUGGCUAGCUAGCACUAUGCUAUCGUAUGCUGUGAUAUUGUGUGACAUGGUAUCAUGUUAUUAUAUCUCUACCUAUCUAUCUAUUCGAGUAGAUUAUGCAUGAAACUGUAGCUUGAAGUGAACAUGCUUGCAAGGUCACUGACGUGCAUUGUUGGGCUCCUGUCUAGUGCUUCUGGAUCGAAGUGAUUGCAAUCUACUCCCUCCGUUCCGAAUUACUCGUCGCAGAAAUGGAUGUAUCUAGAUGUAUUUUACUUCUAGAUACAUCCAUUUCUGCGACUAGUAAUUUGAAACGAAGGGAGUAAUGUCACUACUGGUUUCUUUAUAUGUGGUACAUGCUAUUGGUUUGAAGUGUUGACUUUGCCCAUCUAAAU